rnacentral:ncRNA from 1 species
AUAAAGUUUAAAUUUAGUUUAAUUUUUUAUUAUAUAAUUAAUAUAUAUGUAAAUUUUAGUAAAAAAAAAAUUUAAAAAAUUUAUUUUUGCAGUAUAAAAUUUUAAAUAUUAAAGAAAUUUAGAUUUAGUAAUUUAUAAAAAUUUGAACAAAAUUUGUGCCAGCAGUUGCGGUUAUUCAAAUUAAAUAAGUAAAAAAAUUAUUUAAAAUAAUUAAAUAUCAAAUAUAUAAUUUAUUAUAAAAUUUAUUAAGUGAAAUUUUAAAUUUUAUAAAAAUUAUAAAUAAAAGAUUUGAAGUUAAAAAAUUUAAUAUUAAACUAGGAUUAGAUACCCUAUUAUUAUAAAUGUACUAAAUUUUUAAAAUUAUUAAAAGUUAAGAUCUUUAAAGUUAAAAAUUAUGGCGGUAUUUUAAUCAAUUUAGAGGAACCUGUUUUUUAAUUGAUAAUCCACGAUAAAAUUUACUUUUUUUAAAAAUUUAUAUAUCGUCGAAAAAAGAAUAUUUUUUAAGAAUUGAUAAUAUUCAAUUUUUUAUAUAAAAAUUAAAUUCAGAUCAAGGUAUAGUUUAUAAAAAAGUUUAAAUGGGUUACAAUAAAAUUUAUUUUUAAAUUAAAAUUUUUAAAAUUUUAUGAAAUUGGAUUUAAAAGUAAUAUUAAUUUAAUUUAAAUAAUAUGAUUAUGUUUUAAAAUAUGUACAUAUCGCCCGUCGCUUUCAUUUAAAAUGAAAUAAGUCGUAACAAAGUAGAUUUAUUGGAAAAUGAAUCUAGAAUGCA